AGGCAUUCCUGCAGGCGUGAAGA
rnacentral:piRNA from 1 species